UGAUGGGAGGAACCCCACCAGGUGAAAGGGGCUCUUUAGUCAGCAUGCCACUGAGUUCUGGUUGGGCAACACACCAGGAAGAAGAGGAGCCAGCAUCACUUCUGAUGACACACGAUACUUCCAACAACAGUUUGGCAAAGACUGGAUUUGGGAAGCCCUCCAACAAAACAUUCCCUGUGGUCACUUCAAAGAGGGACAUGUUAUAAUGAAAGGACUGCUUCUAGCUCUUCCUCAAACUACAUGAAGUUCUCACAAAAUAAUGCAGAGAAGCAAAAGUUAAAAAAAAAGAAAUCCAUGAUGAGCAGCAUACUGAAUUCUGCUUUCAAUGAAAAACCAGACAUCAAACUCAACUGCAAGCUGUCAGGAGAGCUCAGCAGUUUGUACAGCUUCACAAGGGCUUUCUUCUGCAUGUCACUGAAUUUCAGCUGUUUUAUGCCUGACAGCUUCAUGACAAGAACAUUCUGCUGACAGAUAUUGACCAUGGUACGUGUUUCCCCAGCACAUCUGGCCCCACGGUUAAAUACCUGGGAUUGCUUCUGAGCUGACUGCAGUGCUUUGCUUUUAAAUGGACCAUUAUGAGCUGACUGGAGGGAUCUCUAACUUUUCAAAUCCCUUGAAUUCUCUUGUCUAUGUGUGAUGGGACUUACAAAAAGACACUGAAUUGUAACAGAUUUUCAUGGCAGAUUUUAGUUAGUUUUAGUCUCUUUCCGGGUGAAGGUCAAUGCACAUUAAGUAACAGCAAGUGCAAACAUCCAAGUGCUCCAUUUGCCUUUGUACAAAGGUCUAUGCAAUCUCAGGCCCCACACCAUGCAUGUGGGAUUCACCACUCCAACGCACUUUCUAAAUCAAGUCUGACAAACAGCUGCUGAGAACCACAACCUACUGACAUUUCACAUCAGCCCACUUUUAAGUCCCUACUUGCUAGCAGGGGACAAAUCAAGAUGACAUAAACUCUCACAGGUCCAUCUUGGGCAUAGCUGCCACAUACUCAGCCUUUUGGUGACUUUGUUUCACAGUUGCCCCCUUCUUUGGCUUCCACAGGGGACUGAUUAGCUAGGAGUGGCUGGGAGUGCAUAUCUCUUUUACUGCCAGGGAAGCAGGGUGCUGCUACUCAGGAAGCACAGAAGUCCUGAUUUAUCUCCCUUGCAGAAAACUAACUUUGCCAUUUCCUCAAGAAUGAAGGCAUUUUGGGUUAAAGUUCACUCUUCCAGGAUGCUUCAGGAUUUUUCAAUGACCAGUCUUUGAAAGGACCAGGGUUCUAAAACCAUAAAUUGUUGUUUAGUUUCUUCUAUUCUAACACUGAAAAGAUCUUGGCACCAACAUCCCACAUCCUUUCUCUUUUAUGCUUAUGCAUUCCUUGGCACACCUUAGGUUACAGCAAAGCACAGACCAUCUCUGACACAACGUUCUAGGUUUCUAGCUAUGCAGUGAUGUUCAGGAACCUUAUCUUAAAUGCAUUGGGUAUCUUUUGAUCCCUUUCAUGUGCUCUCCAUCCUCAUGCAGCGCAUUCUGAAGUGACUGUCCCUGCAGGAGGUGGGGGAGGGAGCUGCAGCCAGAAAUUCUCCAGGGAAACUUUGCAGCUAGCUCAAAGUAAGCCGACCUGGCUCUUCCUUAACAGAAAUAGCUGUCAGGAUGCCUUCAUAUUUUAUGAGCAGGGGCAGUUUAAUAAUACGUACAUAUAAAAUAAAAGCCUCUCACAUCAAUGACAAACGGAGAUACAAAAAAUGUUGAAAUAGGCCAGUGUUCUUUGGGCUAACAGUGUACAUCUGGUUGAAAGAAACAUCUUACGCUGAUGUUAUUUCUUAGCAAUUCCACCCAGUUAUUUUGGGUAUGCAGUCCCAGUCCUUAAAUAUCUGCAUAAAUGUCAUUCGCAGGGAGGAGAGGCUGGUUUGGUUCACUUUGCACACUCAUCUGUGCUUCUCCAAGACAGAACUAGGAUGCAAGGGAAGAUGAAGAAUGACUCAGGCUCUGCCUACACUGUAGGUUUCAAAUUGGGAAAAUAAGAUAGCAGAAGCAUUUUGUAUUACCUUAUGAAAUGUUGUUGCCAUUUUUAUCAAUGUUAUCAAUAAUUUUUUGUAGAAGCACUUGUGCUGAUGCCAGUUGUUUUGAAGAUGUCACACUCUCCCAACCCUAUUUAGACAAGUUGGAAUUGUGUUUUAUUUCUUUGCACUAUUGGCUCUAAACAUUUGAAAGCCACAAGCCAUGCUAUAUAAACAAAAAAGGUGUCUAGUGUUCAUCAGUAAUAACUCAAGGUGGCUUUUAGCAGAGAUUUAAAUGAAAGCUCACCAUUAGCUAGAAUGUCUGUUGCCCCGUUGAGUCCUUUUGAGUCUUUUUCUGAGCCCAAGUCUGAGCUAUGAGGCUCAUUUCCAAAUCCAUUGACAGGAUUUAUCCAGGGUCUGUUAGCCAUUGUAGCAGCAGUAAAUGCAUUACCAUGGAACAGCUCAAAGAAAAUAGCUUGGAUUUACAAUGUAAUUGAACAAACUGGGAAAUGAAGUAGCCCCAGCUGUUCCCUGAGUAACCUCCUUGUAACAGGAAAUAAGAUCAAGUGAAAACCAAAGAGGAAUGUCUCCAGGAAGGCAUCUCUCCUUUACCUGGAGAGUUAUUAUUAAAUACUGUGUAUUAUGGGUAAGUCUGCUAUAAUAUUAUGUGUAUAUAACACUUCUGUUCCAAAUAUGUAUUGAUCUACUACACAUGGCUACAAAUAAAUGCAUUUAUACCGUUAAUAUUGUGUAGGCAUAUAUGAACAAUUCUUUACCAAAAUAUUUGUAUGUUCUGUUGUCUACAUGUUUAUGAAAUCCUACCCCCUAAAUUGAGAACACACACAGAAACAUGUUCAUGUGAGUGGAUCACAGUCCUGCACUGUCAUGAUAACAUGAUGCUCAAUACUCAAAGUGCUGAAAACUCAGCAAAAUGAGAGAGACAGUGCAGGGAAUGCUUCCACAAGCUUUACAGUGGUAGUCAGAAUAAAAGAACCAACAAGGAUAUCAAGUGUGUACAGCAUUGUGCACUGAAGGUUGCAUUACAUAGUUGAACAAACACAGAAAUGUGAAAUACACUCAAGAGCUCUACCCUUCCUGUAGUGAAAUCCACAUCCUUGAAUAAAAUUCAGAUAUAACUCCUCUCCAUAUGUCUGCAAGGGAGAGAGCAGCUAGGGGGCAAACCAUUUAUCCUGGGCAGGACUCCUCUACUGUAACAGUUCUGCAAGGCAGAGCAUGGCAGUGAGCUGCUGCUGUCUGGGAGUCCAUAUCGUCCAUAUAGACAGGAGAAGCCUGCACGUGUUGGUUUUUUCUACCACACAGAACUCACUGGUACCUCCUAAACUAGCACAGGCUAUUUCCAAAUCUGCAUUAGUGAAAGAGCCAGCAUUGCUGACCCCCAUCUGCAGCAAACUAAAGGCUAAGAAGAAAAAGCAAAUGCCUAAUCUUCUUUCUU